rnacentral:rRNA from 1 species
GCUCAGAUUGAACGCUGGCGGCAGGCCUAACACAUGCAAGUCGAGCGGUAGCACAAGAGAGCUUGCUCUCUGGGUGACGAGCGGCGGACGGGUGAGUAAUGUCUGGGAAACUGCCUGAUGGAGGGGGAUAACUACUGGAAACGGUAGCUAAUACCGCAUGACGUCUUCGGACCAAAGUGGGGGACCUUCGGGCCUCACGCCAUCAGAUGUGCCCAGAUGGGAUUAGCUAGUAGGUGGGGUAAUGGCUCACCUAGGCGACGAUCUCUAGCUGGUCUGAGAGGAUGACCAGCCACACUGGAACUGAGACACGGUCCAGACUCCUACGGGAGGCAGCAGUGGGGAAUAUUGCACAAUGGGCGCAAGCCUGAUGCAGCCAUGCCGCGUGUAUGAAGAAGGCCUUCGGGUUGUAAAGUACUUUCAGCGAGGAGGAAGGCAUUGUGGUUAAUAACCGCAGUGAUUGACGUUACUCGCAGAAGAAGCACCGGCUAACUCCGUGCCAGCAGCCGCGGU